GAAGUACUCCCUCCGUCCAGAAUUACUUGUCGCACAAAUGGAUAAAAAAGUAUGUAUCUAGAACUAAAAUACAUCUAGAUACAUCCAUUCUUAUGACAAGUAUUUCCGGACGGAAGGAGUAUUUG
rnacentral:pre_miRNA from 1 species